UCCUGGCUCAGAACGAACGCUGGCGGCGCGUUUUAAGCAUGCAAGUCGAACGGUAGAGUGGUUUUCGGACUGCUUGAGAGUGGCGAACGGGUGAGUAACACGUAGGUGAUCUACCUUGGGGUUGGGGAUAGCCCAUGGAAACAUGGGGUAAUACCCGCUAUUUCCUAUAUACUGUGGUGUAUAGGGAAAAGGCGCUUAGGCGCCGCCCUGGGAUGAGCCUGCGUUCCAUUAGUUAGUUGGUGAGGUAAGAGCUCAUCAAGGCGACGAUGGAUAGGCGGCCUGAGAGGGUGACCGCCCACACUGGGACUGAGACACGGCCCAGACUCCUACGGGAGGCAGCAGCUAAGAAUCUUCCGCAAUGGGCGCAAGCCUGACGGAGCGACGCCGCGUGGACGAAGAAGGCCGUGAGGUUGUAAAGUCCUUUUUUUGUUGAAGAAUAAUGGUGGUAGGGAAUGACCAUCAGAUGACGUCAUGCGAAGAAUAAGCCCCGGCUAAUUACGUGCCAGCAGCCGCGGUAACACGUAAGGGGCGAGCGUUGUUCGGAAUUAUUGGGCGUAAAGGGCGCGUAGGCGGUUAAGCAAGCCUGGUGUGAAAUACUCCAGCCUAACUGGAGGGGUGCGCUGGGAACUGUUUAACUUGAGUUCAGGAAGGGAAGCUGGAAUUCCAGGUGUAGGGGUGAAAUCUGUAGAUAUCUGGAAGAACACCGGAGGCGAAGGCGAGCUUCUAGCCAUGGACUGACGCUGAGGCGCGAAAGCGUGGGGAGCGAACAGGAUUAGAUACCCUGGUAGUCCACGCUGUAAACGAUGUGCACUGGGUGUUGGGACGAGAAGUCUCAGUGCCGUAGCAAACGCGAUAAGUGCACCGCCUGGGGAGUAUGCCCGCAAGGGUGAAACUCAAAGGAAUUGACGGGGGCCCGCACAAGCGGUGGAGCAUGUGGUUUAAUUCGAUGAUACGCGAGAAACCUUACCAGGGCUUGACAUAUGCGGGAAGUCAUCAGAGAUGAUGGUGCUUCUUCGGAAGCUCGCAUACAGGUGCUGCAUGGCUGUCGUCAGCUCGUGCUGUGAAGUGUUGGGUUAAGUCCCGCAACGAGCGCAACCCUUGCUGUCUGUUGCCAGCGCGUAAUGGCGGGGACUCAGACGGAACUGCCGGUGACAAACCGGAGGAAGGUGGGGACGACGUCAAGUCAUCAUGGCCCUUAUGUCCUGGGCUACACACGUGCUACAAUGGUCGGUACAGAGCGCAGCGAAACCGCGAGGUGGAGCAAAUCGCAGAAAACCGGUCUCAGUACAGAUUGAAGUCUGAAACCCGACUUCAUGAAGGUGGAAUCGCUAGUAAUCGCGCAUCAGCAUGGCGCGGUGAAUACGUUCCCGGGCCUUGUACACACCGCCCGUCACACCACCCGAGUUGGGGGUACCCGAAGUCACUCGUCUAACCGUAAGGGGGACGGUG
rnacentral:rRNA from 1 species